rnacentral:rRNA from 1 species
UACGUAGGCAGCGAGCGUUGUUCGGAGUUACUGGGCGUAAAGGGUGCGUAGGCGGUUGUUUAAAGUUUGGUGUGAAAUCUCCCGGCUCAACUGGGAGGGUGCGCCGAAUACUGAAUGACUAGAGUGCGGGAGAGGAUAGUGGAAUUCCUGGUGUAGCGGUGAAAUGCGUAGAUAUCAGGAGGAACACCGGUGGUGUAGACGGCUAUCUGGACCGUAACUGACGCUGAGACACGAAAGCGUGGGUAGCAAACAGG